rnacentral:rRNA from 1 species
AAAACGACUCUCGGCAACGGAUAUCUCGGCUCUCGCAUCGAUGAAGAACGUAGCGGGAUGUGAUACUUGGUGUGAAUUUCAGAAUCCCGUGAACCAUCGAGUCUUUGAACGCAAGUUGCGCCCCAAGCCGUCAGGCCAAGGGCACGUCUGCCUGGGUGUCACGC